CUACCUUGAAAUCAAAUUGGAAACUGAGUGGAAAAACAGUUCUCCUCUUGACCCUCUCUGCAUUUAUACUCCAAUCUACGCCCAACGCAUGGCUUUGUUGUACACUCUGUAUGAGUGCCCUCUAUAAUUAAACCUUUAUUCAAAUCUCCUCCUGCCUUCUUCAUCACCCUUGGUUAGAUCAAAACAGGAGAGGCAAAAAAAAAAGAAAAACUUGUCUGGGGUGCAGAAGCAGAGAGGAAGAGAUACUAUUUAAUGAAACAGGCUAACGGUGGUGGGGAGAGAAAGUCUCAAUUCUCCCAUCUCAGAAACAUUGAGCCUGGAAAUAUUGCUGAAAUCACAUUUGGGAACAAAGCUCCGCUUUAAGUAGGCUCACCCAUGAGUGUUGCUAAGCAAUGGAGAGAAGGCGAGAGAGGGAGAGCGCCUGACUUCAGGAUUAGAAGGAUAGAUAGAAGGAAAACCACUAAGGCUUCUAUGUAGCCUUAUUUAAAGUCAGCUUCCAAGUCCUAUGUUUUUCUUGCCUGUCUUCUGACCUAUUUGCACCACAAUUAGUCAAAUAUGGUUCAGUAUCACCACGCAUCCAGCACAGAGUUGCGCCGCGUCCUGGAGCUCUGGCACAAGCAGUUACGCACCAGAACUGUCAACAUGUCUCCACAUUGAACAGAAAGGAAGGAGAGAAGAAGAAAUCUUUCCUAUCAGAAGCAGCAGGGGUUGCUGCAGGAAGAAGAUAAUUCCCCCCUGCUGCUCUACUGACAGCCAUCGAACUCCACAGGAGGAAAACGGCGUUUUAAUCAUGGAAUUGAAAAACACGGCAGUUCCCAAAUCUUCAUCUCACCUUGGUUGAUUUACAUACAUUUAGGACAAACUGGCUCACUGUGGAAUUAUGUUGUAUGUGGAAGAUAAGAGAGGAGCGAAGAAUUCAGGGUAAUUCCUAGUUUGUAGCUGUGUGUGUAACCCCUCCAGAGCAUCCCAGAUAAACAGUGACCACUCUUCCUUAAAAGCACUGUGCAGACUUCCUAAUUUCAAGUCAUGUGCCUUAUAAACUCAGUGCUAUUUUAAAAAAGUAAAGAUAAAAAGAUAAGCACCUUAUUAACAACUGCAAGUCAAGGCCUGAUCAGGGUCCACCGAAGUCAUCAGAAAACCCACGACAGAGAUCCAGGGAGUUUUGGAUAUUUCAUCAGACUGUCAUUAUAACAAAGGCACCCCAGAAUGGGCCAGCUAAGAUGAAUGCAAAUCUUGCAUCAGAAACAGCCAGGCAUCCCCAAAAUUAAAAAUUUGAGCACACAGCAGAUUAUAGGCAGCAGCUUUGGGCAUGUGGCACAACAUCUGUUACAAAAACACUAGAAAGCAGACCUGCGGCAAACUGGACCUCUGCCAGCUCUCAGGAUUUUUUUUUUUCCCCCCUUGACAAGGCUGUCAGGAAAUGGACAGAUGGCAGCCGAUGCACUCGCAGGAUAGUUAGUUCAGUUAACAGUCAAGUAUGCUAAAUGAUUUCAGAUUCACUCCGCACCAGGCAUUGUAUUUUGUACUGAAUCAUUAACGCUGUGUCCUAAUAGGAAUAUAGUUUGGUAGCAAGAAACUGGCAGAUAUUGUAUUUCACAAAACACUUUCUCUGGAACAAUUUGUCAGGGAACAUUAGAACUGCCUUCAUGAAUAAAGCCAGAAUUGGCCAAGUUUACCAAGCUGGUUCGUGCAUAAUCUUAACUCUACAGUAUUCAAAGAAUAGGGAUUGAAACAAACAUUAAGAUGCAGGGCAGAUAGUAGCACAAGUUGUUCCCACACGUGCACUCAGCUGAAAAAGCAGCGUUAGCCAUGCACAGCGUGUGGGAUACCUUAUCACUGUGGCUUGUCUGCCUUACCACGUGCAAGGCACUGAGCUCUCCCAGCAGGCCAGUUCUCACAAGCAGCCCUCUGGAUGGGAUGACAUGCUUUUCCCCCCGGCACACUGAUGUGAAGAUCUGACCCAGGAAAAUUGGUAUUUCUUGACUUUUAUAAGCGCAACCCAUAAAUGAAGUUGAGGCACUAUAUCUUCACGAGGCAAAUAACUCAGCAUUGAACACUGGUGAACAGCACACAGGUGGACUUCUAGCAUUAAGAGAACUAUCUUUUUAUUCUUCCUCUGUAUGAUCAUAUCUUCAACAGUGUGUUUUGUAGACUUAGUGAGAGGAUUACUCCAUCAUCUUGCCUUUUUUUUUUUUUUAAGUAGCAGUACAAGAGUAAUCUUUGGAAGAAAAUAUGUUUGAAGAAAACUAAAAGUUGCAAAGCAUUACUGGUGCCCGAACAACAAAGGAAUGACCUACAGAGUCAGGUAAUGGCCUACAGCAGAACUGCAGGUGAUCUGACUUGCAGUAACAAUAUUACAUCAUGCUGUAAAAGACUUGUACCUUGGAUCCCACUCAAGAGCCCUCCAAAAGCACAGAUCUGACAGUGUAAGUAUUGAGCUGAGAGCAGCUGAGCAGCACCACACAUGAGGAUAAUCUCAACACCUCUCACACAGCAAUGAACCCCCCUAUGGUCCGUCAAUGAACACGACAUGGAUCUUCCACUAAGUUCCCAUUUCUGCUGAUGUUGGCUUUCUCCAGAAGUGUUUAGACAGCAUCACCACAGUUAGACCAGGAAAAAAAACCAAAAACAAUCAGUAACGGCAGCUGAGAGCUCAUCUGUCCUGCUCUAAUUCAGGGGUGGUACAAGAAUCUUCAGAACUCAGUUUGGCUGAGCUCAUUUCUUCUGGCUCAACUUUUUGUGAAAAUCUGAUUAAACCUCAGUGAAAUUUAAUCUUUGCAUUCCAAGCCUUCUUUCCAAAGGAAAAAAAAAAAAAAAUCUUCUGAGGGCAUAAAUUAUCAAGAGAGGUCACCAGCCAACUCUGAGAAAACAGGUGAAAAAUCGUUGUCUUUUCUCAGCACUAUUCAUCUGGUAAAUCUGCAAAGCUAUUCCAAAAAAUGAAUUGCAGAAUAGCUUCAUGUCACCUUUCAACAGUCAAAAAUACACUUUAUCAGAUAGAAAGUCAAAAAGAGUAUGAAAAGGCAGGACAAAUUAGCUAUAACAGAUUUAGGAAUGCCAGGCAUUCAUAAUAUUCUUUCAUAAUGCCAGACAGUCAUAAAGGCUGAAAAUUUGGCUCCCAGCAGUCCCAUGGUGUUAACUUAUUUCUCAUUUUCCCUUUAAUUCCUACUACAGCGAAAUAACAAAGACAAAUGUAGCGGAUAUAUAUUUUUAUAGUAACAGCACUUCCUCAUGACAAUUCUGCUUCAAAACCACACAUUAGGAUGGAAUUAGCAAAACCCAGUUCGCAGCCUGGUUUUUCAGCCAAAGGUCCACACUUCCCCCAUUAUCCCCCAGUAAUAUCUGUCCCACAUUGUCUCAGGAGAGAAACACAAAACAGAAUUCUUUAGCUUUCCUCAAAACAUUUUUUCCAUUUAUGGAUAAAUAAUGCAUAGCAUCGUUAGACCCAAACGAGACAACUGCAGAAUGCUGCUGCCUGGGUACGAUUGGCCAUUCACAGCAACAGAACGCUUUCGCUGCUGAGGAGGAAAGGGAUGUCAGUGGGAGUUUAUUCCCAUCUGUCAGCCCAGCAGCACUGAUGGUGCUGAAUGAAGUCUUUCUGCUCAUUCAGCAUCUGUGGUCUAAUAUUUGCCAGGAGUUUGAUCUUGACCUCUUGGGUUGUGCCUACAGUACCCAGGGUUCCCAGGUGGCUUCUAGCCAAGCAUCAGCCUGGUCUAGGACUGCUGAGCUCGCAGAAUCAGACUGCCCUAAACCACAUUUUGUUGAUACAGCACUGUUACUGGCAUUUCUUAGUUUCUCCAAAUACUCCACUAUGCAAUCCACUAAGAUUAGAUUUUGCAGCUUCGAGGAAAGAGAGCAAGCAAGUCUUAUCAAGCACAGCAAUCAUAUAUUUAAAGAGAAAAGGAAAACAAAUAAGCAGGUGAAAAAAUUGGCAGUAGGAAGGUUUUGCGAGUUUUUUCCUCUGGUUAUCUAACAUUCCAGCCAUCCCAGCUCAACUUCUUUUUACCUUAUAUUAUCUUGGACAAUGCAAAACAUCAGCAAACAUCAAAAGGGAAAUAAAAUUUUGUGGCCAAACCUAAUUAUGGAUAGUCUCAAAUAGUUGUAGAUGUACAUAUCAGGCAAGGCUAAAAAAAAAAGGAAGAUGGUAUAUAGGUCUACUCACUCAUAUAUUUUUUUUUUUAAAGAAUCUGUUCCCCCUAUAACUUUAUAGUUGCUAAUAGCUUCUUCUACUCAGUAAUCCCAGAACUCACACAAUUAUGCAACAAAAACACAGUUAUACACAUACAAUUAUACAUCAGUACGUUUGUGGAAUACAGUACACUGAUAGAAGUCUUUGUAUUUCAAUCAUGCAAUUAAAAGUUCAACACUAAUAUUGCAAUAACAAUUAUAAAACUACCUAGGUAGAAAGCUACAGAGUGAAAAAUCAGAGUGACAUCAUGAACUCUUCUAGUACAGAUGUGCAGUAAUUCUUCAUCUGUUCUUGCCUUGGCAGGUAAGAGGUUGUGCCCUGUUCAAGAUUACUUAGGAACACAUGUUCCUUGUGAACACUGUCGUGUUCAGUAAUAGACAUAAAUGAAUUAAUCAUUCCAGACAUUUCCAAGAAGGUUGGUGCCAAGAGACUAUGCAGCGAGUCUGCUUCUCCAGCUGGAUGGACACUUGCUCUCCCCAACCCUUACACCACAGUCACGCUAAGGGUGCGACACUGCCUUAGUUGGCACACCCUCAGAUAUUCCCCAACCUUGGGAACCAAGUUUGUCAUUCUUAACCAUUCUUAAAAGUAGUACUUAUAAGCCCGAAAGAGCAAACAGCUAGCACUCUCUUUAGGGUGUCCCUCUUCCCACCCCCCUUUUUUUGGGGGGGGGGGGGGGGCAAGCUUUAAUAACCCAGAGGUGUGAACACAUGAAAGUGAUUCUGCCAAAGCCAACAACUCAAAAUACAAAAUAAUUCUAUUCCCUGCCUGGUGACUUCUAAAUUUCCUUGGCUAGUCCUCAAAGUUUCUUGCAGAGACCAGAGGCCCUUAUCUGAUGGAAUUCAGCAUCAGUAACUUCAAAGUUGUGCUCUGCAGGCGUGAUGGGGAAAUCAAUCCAACCACGAUACGCAGUGAUUAGAUCAGCUAUUGCCACUCAGAAGAGAAAUGUGUGGACAGUCUUGUAUAAGCGUUAGCUCAGCAUUCAUCAACAAAGGAAAAAUGCAUCAGAGGAACAACACUUCAAGGAGCAGAGAAGGAAAGAAAAUACCUUCAUGUCUGUCACCACAAAUCCAUGUUUCCAUAUCCACUGUGCCAACAUCAGGGUGUGAUCCUAACCCACGUCACUGUCUCCACACCUGCCUCAAGAUCAGCAGUCUAAGACAAGACUUUUACCAAGUGCCUUCAUUCUGCAGGAAUUAAUUUCUCCCAAGACAUGCACCCAUUUCCUAGGAUAGGAAGAUCUUCCUGAGCUGUUUUCAGUCACCUGCCUCCUCCCUGUGCAUGCAACACAAACAGUUGUGAACAGAAACACUUGAAUGCACCAUCCCUGCCCUGCUCCCAGCUAGAAUUGCACCGUAAGGAGCAGACAGAACUGAACUCACUGAUGAGCCUCAGUACCUUUCUCUCCAAGCCUCAUCACAGACAAGGAAAUCUUUACACCAGCUUGGGAAUUUAAGAGCAGUCUCUGAAGUCCUACAGAACUGACAAACUACUCAUUUAGAGAGGCUCCACGCUGGGUGACUCCCAUGAUCUCCUUUUCUUUACAAACAGCAUUUCUUUUAAAAAGGUACAGAGUUUGUUUCCAUAUGCUCAUGAUUUCUCAAUACUGCUGUUCUUACAAACUAGUAAAUGAAUGCCUCCAGCUAGCACUAACAUUUCUAUCAAUGUAACAGCCCAGCCUACAGGGAACUAAUUUACUGAAACUGGUUAAGUGCUACACAAACAUCAUCUAGAGAGAUUAAUUGGCUGUUAAAGUUUGAUUGCUUUGCAAUCCCUUGGUCAUGGUUGGAAAAUGAAAAAGUGAUCUUUUGUCAUUACGUAAAUACCUUAAGGUAUAGAAUAUAUGCAGGGCUUUGUUUACAUUUUCUAAACACAGCAAGCCUUCAGUGGGAAGGAGAGCUACGACCCAUUUAUUUAUACUGAAGUUUAUUUAGUAUAUUCAUUAUGAAUGACAUUUUCCUGAAGUUUAUUUAGAAGUAAAGUCUUUCCAGGCUGUAAUUAAUCCAAAUUAAAACACAUUUAUGCUGAUCAUUACAGCAAUUUGUUGCAGACAAGUUUCCAUUUGAACAUUUCCCAAAGUCUGCAUUACUGUACUCUGAAUCUUCAAUUUCCGAAGUGCAACUUUCCAUUUCCCCUAUAAAUAGCACAAACCAGAUACCCCCCGCUCUUGGAAUUUUUUCACUCAGAAGUUCCCUGAAGUUCCAUGGUAAUUUAGUAUCACUCCUAUUACUCACUUUUCUUCAUUCUUAGUCUGGGAAACUCUUGCUUAACCAUCAGCUUUGUAACCUUACCUUUCUCAAGGGAAAAGCCUUAAUCAAGUGUAAGGAAGUCUGCAGAAGAACUCAAAGCUCUGUUCACAGACCAUGCUAAAAGACAAGGUGAGGAAUGAGAACUGGAGGCACCAGCCAAAUGAGUUGUCAGUGAGUCCAUUUCAUACAGCUUGAGCAAUUAAAACUGAACUAUUUCCAUAGCACCAUUCCAUGGAUACAAAAAACUUCUUUCCUUGAGAAACUUUCAUCUUUUAUACAUACGCUAUUUCACUGACAGCACACCUACAAUGAUCCACUGAAACCUACAGGCAUGCCCAAAGGGAUGGAUGCCCUCAUUAUUAUUUGUAUCAACACUGAGGAUGAUCCAAGUAAGGAUUACAGACACAGACACAGAAGUAAGAAUGAGAUUAAGAGCAGAAUGGAAUUGGCACAAUUACUAUUAGCAACAUGCAUAAGAAAUGAAAUUUACUGUGUUCCAGAUACAGGAGAAUUUGCAGCCUUUCCAUACAGCAGGAAAAGCUUUUAUUUCUCAGACUCAGGAAAUUUGAUCGGGAAUCAAAUGCAUCGCAUAUGAAACCCUCAGCAUACCACAUUCAAUUUCUCUUCUACUGAUAUGUGAAUAAACACCCAUAAUAGUUCAGCAUCUGGAUUGCAUGCAAAGCUGUAAUGCAGAGAGGGUGGAGAAGAAUUGAGAACCAUAGCAGACAGUUCAUAUAAAAUGGUUGUGAAACUGACUCCAAGACAGGGGCCCUACUGCUGCACCAAAAUGAAAUAUUUAAAUGAUCUCAAGGUAGCAACACGUUUGUAGUCUGCAUAGAUAAGAAAUAAGCACAGAACUCCACCCUACACAAAUACUUAGUUGCAUGAUGCAUACACCAGCCCAUUUACUGCAGAACUUCCACAGCUCUGGAGGACGAGAAUCCCAACAAACCAUUUUAUUCAGCUUCUAAAAAAAAAAACCCAACUGGUGUAGAAAAACAGGUAUGGGAAAAGUAAUGGAAAUAGAUGUAUGUUAGAUCGAUUCCAUGCAUUAGCAGAAGCUCUGAAGUUAUCAACACAAAAAAGUGCUCAGAUACCACAGUGAUCAACUCAUUGUAAAAACAGAGCCAGCAUAUCCAGAAAAGGUGCAAUCCUCUAAUAGGUAUGUCCAUCAAAUGGGCACAGGCAUAAUUUCCUUCACAAAACAAACAAAAACAAACAACCUAACAACAACAAGAAAGGUACAUAGGUCAGCACAGGAGGUGCUAGGUCCUUUGGGAGGUGCUAAGUGCCUCGCUUGCUGUGCUGACUGCAGCUUUGAACUGGAUUUUGGCCACUGUAUCGGCUCUAUAAAAAACCAGAAAAUGUAACACUUGGUUUCCAAGUUCUCCUAAGCUAGACAUAAAUAUUAACCCUGAAAUUGAUUGGGAAAAGGACUACAUUGACAGACACACAUUCCCUUUCCCACCUCCUCCUUGCUCCUCCCCGCACAGUUCUGCAGAGCCUGGAGAGCCAUCCACACACCCAGGAAUGCUUGGUCCAAGAGAUACCACCUACAUCCAGAUGACUGCCACUAGAUUCGGCAGCUGAGGGAUGCUUCAGGCCAUGGUUAAGAGCGGACAAGGAAAUGCACUGUUCAGAGAAGCAGUUAGCUAUCAUCUGCCAUGCAGCUUUUUGUCAACGCUGCCUAGGCAGCUGUACUGGAAGCCUGAAUUUGCACACUUCAUGUGGGUGAACACACCAAACACUACUGGGAAUUAUUUAAAGGUAGCAGACAGCUGGUUUGGAUCAUGUUUGCAUAGAAUAGCCUGCCCAAAACCUCAGAUUGCUUCUCCCAUUGAGAUUACAUUCUCCAGUCACUGCAGUAUCUAAAUGAAGUGGUUUCAAAAUAGGCACCUAUAUCACUUCGGGGAAAAAAACAACCACACUUGAAAAAGAGCAAUAAAACUGUCUCCUUUCUGCAGCAAAAAGGAUCCUAGCUUCCUCAUGCUUACCAACAUCUCCAAGAUUUAUGGUGUCAGUUGGAUUCACCUCCCUCACAUCCCAUUAAGGGUGGCUAUUUCCUGUCAAAGAAACACUGAGCAGAGCUGCCCUGCACUCCUGCCCCAAACAGCAGACGCCGAGAAAGGCAGCCCCCCUUAUUGACACCACAUCUCCUGCACUGACGCUGUUUGCCUUCUUUACUGCAGCUGUACAUGUUGGGAUCAGCACUUAAGCGAUUUUUAUGUGUCUUUCCUGGGCAGUGUACUCUGCAAUCUCACCCGUAAUAUAUGAGGUUUUAACUGUUUCCUUUUAGGCCUUUUUUUUUUUUUAGCCUAUUUAUAGCUUCCUAACUGACUGCAUUUUGCAAUUUAUGAGCAACUUAAAUGACCUGAAUCUCCUGUAUCUAAUUGUAGUGGGAGAGGCCUCAUUAUUUGUCGUGCCUUUUUUCCCAAUCCCUUGCUUUGAAAUCCUCGCUUUGUGUCGCGUUGUCAGAAGUGAUUACAGCACAAAUAAAGACUGCACUAAAAA
ensembl:lncRNA